rnacentral:rRNA from 2 species
AAAUUGAAGAGUUUGAUCAUGGCUCAGAUUGAACGCUGGCGGCAGGCCUAACACAUGCAAGUCGAACGGUAACAGGAAGCAGCUUGCUGCUUCGCUGACGAGUGGCGGACGGGUGAGUAAUGUCUGGGAAACUGCCUGAUGGAGGGGGAUAACUACUGGAAACGGUGGCUAAUACCGCAUAACGUCGCAAGACCAAAGAGGGGGACCUUCGGGCCUCUUGCCAUCAGAUGUGCCCAGAUGGGAUUAGCUAGUUGGUGAGGUAACGGCUCACCAAGGCGACGAUCCCUAGCUGGUCUGAGAGGAUGACCAGCCACACUGGAACUGAGACACGGUCCAGACUCCUACGGGAGGCAGCAGUGGGGAAUAUUGCACAAUGGGCGCAAGCCUGAUGCAGCCAUGCCGCGUGUAUGAAGAAGGCCUUCGGGUUGUAAAGUACUUUCAGCGGGGAGGAAGGUGUUGUGGUUAAUAACCACAGCAAUUGACGUUACCCGCAGAAGAAGCACCGGCUAACUCCGUGCCAGCAGCCGCGGUAAUACGGAGGGUGCAAGCGUUAAUCGGAAUUACUGGGCGUAAAGCGCACGCAGGCGGUCUGUCAAGUC